rnacentral:rRNA from 1 species
UACGUAGGGGGCAAGCGUUGUCCGGAUUUAUUGGGCGUAAAGAGCGUGUAGGCGGCCAGGUAGGUCCGUUGUGAAAACUGGAGGCUUAACCUCCAGCUGUCGAUGGAAACCAUCUGGCUAGAGUCCGGAAGAGGAGAGUGGAAUUCCUGGUGUAGCGGUGAAAAUGCGCAGAUAUCAGGAAGAACACCAAUGGCGAAGGCAGCUCUCUGGGACGGUACUGACGCUGAGACGCGAAAGCGUGGGGAGCGAACAGG